UACGAAGGGUGCUAGCGUUGUUCGGAAUUACUGGGCGUAAAGCGUGCGCAGGCGGUUUGCUAAGACAGGUGUGAAAUCCCCGGGCUUAACCUGGGAACUGCGCUUGUAACUGGCAAGCUGGAGUGUGGCAGAGGGGGGUGGAAUUCCACGUGUAGCAGUGAAAUGCGUAGAGAUGUGGAGGAACACCGAUGGCGAAGGCAGCCCCCUGGGCUAACACUGACGCUCAUGCACGAAAGCGUGGGGAGCAAACAGG
rnacentral:rRNA from 1 species